rnacentral:rRNA from 1 species
GACGUAGGGCGCGAGCGUUGUCCGGAUUUAUUGGGCGUAAAGAGCUCGUAGGCGGCUCGUUGCGUCGGCUGUGAAAACCCGCAGCUCAACUGUGGGCUUGCAGCUGAUACGGGCGGGCUGGAGUUCGGUAGGGGAGACUGGAAUUCCUGGUGUAGCGGUGAAAUGCGCAGAUAUCAGGAGGAACACCGGUGGCGAAGGCGGGUCUCUGGGCCGAUACUGACGCUGAGGAGCGAAAGCGUGGGGAGCAAAUGGG